AUCUAUGGCUAUACCACCCUGAACAUGCCCGAUCUCAUCUGAUCUUGGAGGCUAAGCAGGGUAGGGCCUGGUUAAUACUUAGAUGGGAGAAAUGUUCCUUCUAUACCAAUUUUGCCUAAGGUU
rnacentral:rRNA from 1 species